rnacentral:tRNA from 1 species
GCCUGGGUGGCUCAGUCGGUUAAGUGUCCGACUUCAGCUCAGGUCACGAUCUCGCGGUCCGUGGGUUCGAGCCCCACGUCAGGCU